UGCGUAGGGUCCGAGCGUUGUCCGGAAUUACUGGGCGUAAAGAGCUCGUAGGUGGUUUGUCGCGUUGUUCGUGAAAACUCACAGCUCAACUGUGGGCGUGCGGGCGAUACGGGCAGACUAGAGUACUGCAGGGGAGACUGGAAUUCCUGGUGUAGCGGUGGAAUGCGCAGAUAUCAGGAGGAACACCGGUGGCGAAGGCGGGUCUCUGGGCAGUAACUGACGCUGAGGAGCGAAAGCGUGGGGAGCGAACAGG
rnacentral:rRNA from 1 species